rnacentral:rRNA from 1 species
UACGUAGGGUGCAAGCGUUGUCCGGAAUUAUUGGGCGUAAAGCGAACGUAGGCGGCUUCUUAAGUUUGGUCUUAAAGACCGGGGCUCAACCCCGGGAAUGGACUGAAUACUGGGAGGCUGGAGGAUGUCAGAGGAAAGUGGAAUUCCCAGUGUAGCGGUGAAAUGCGUAGAUAUUGGGAGGAACACCAGUGGCGAAAGCGACUUUCUGGGGCAUUCCUGACGCUGAGGUUCGAAAGCUCGGGGAGCAAACAGG